rnacentral:rRNA from 1 species
GACGAACACUGGCGGCGUGCCUAAUACAUGCAAGUCGAACGCUUUUUCUUUCACCGGAGCUUGCUCCACCGAAAGAAAAAGAGAGGCGAACGGGUGAGUAACACGUGGGUAACCUGCCCAUCAGAAGGGGAUAACACUUGGAAACAGGUGCUAAUACCGUAUAACACUAUUUUCCGCAUGGAAGAAAGUGGAAAGGCGCUUUUGCGUCACUGAUGGAGGGACCCGCGGUGCAUUAGCUAGUUGGUGAGGUAACGGCUCACCAAGGCAACGAUGCAUAGCCGACCUGAGAGGGUGAUCGGCCACACUGGGACUGAGACACGGCCCAGACUCCUACGGGAGGCAGCAGUAGGGAAUCUUCGGCAAUGGACGAAAGUCUGACCGAGCAACGCCGCGUGAGUGAAGAAGGUUUUCGGAUCGUAAAACUCUGUUGUUAGAGAAGAACAAGGAUGAGAGUAAAACGUUCAUCCCUUGACGGUAUCUAACCAGAAAGCCACGGCUAACUACGUGCCAGCCGCCGCUGUAA